GAUGGCAGACUGCAGCGGCAGGUACUACGGGGGAGGAAGUAGAACAAAUAAAUGGACACUUCUCAAGACUGGGAAAUAGUACCAAGCAUAUGCGGCCAGAAGGCAAGUGACAUAGGCUAUACUGUAGAUUACUAAAUUGCCAACACUUCGUCAGGAUUUUGAUUUAACGUUCCGACUAUCUUACAAUCAUCAUCAGAAAUGGUAAGGAUUGCUUUAUCUACAGUAUUGGAAAGGAACUUUAAGACGAUACUGCAUGUAGGCCUAUAUUAAAGAAAUAUAAAACAUUUUCUGGUUAAUGUGAAUAUCAAGUUUAUCAGCACGAGUGGAAAACGAGAAAUUGUGUGGAAACACCAAGCCGAAGAGCCAGUGUUUUCACAGAAUUUCGUGUAUAUCAACACGGAAAAAAUCUUUUAUAUAUUUUUUAUUAUAUAGCACAAAAACUACAAGCAGCAGGAAAUUUUCCGUGUUGACAUUGAGUUAUAUCAACCCGGCUCUUAGCCAAUCAGCGUUGAGAGUUUAAAAAUGCAAUAUAUAUUGGUCUUGCUAUGCAAAUUUAUCCGUGUUCAUAAACUAUUUACAACAUGAGCGGCUGUGUUUUAUCGGAUAUACAAGCUCGAGCCGAAGGCGAGAGUUUGUCAUAUCCGAUACAACACGGACGCGAAUGUUGUAAAUGGCUUUAAUGGCUUGAGAAAUUCAUCUCGUAAAUAAAAUUUAUUUGAUAUAGAACUACAAAUGAAGUUAAUAACGUGACCUUAACAGUUCCAUAUUUCUUUUGUAAACGAAACCAUGAAGGAAGGUAAGAACUACUAACAGAGCAUGCGUUGGCCUGGAACAGGUGGAAAAUUGAGCAAAUGCCUCUUUUGUUAGCAAGGCGUUACUUGAAGUUCAAAAAUCAAGCGGAAGCGUUAGAAAAGAAGGUGAAAGAGAGUCUUCUCGGUGUUGGAGUUGUGGAAGAGAAUCAUUUCACGGUUUUGCCAACUUGGAUCGAUGAAGUGAAAUUGGUUGCACAAGAGGACCAACUGCUUGAGUCCAGAAAACAAUUUCUUUCUGAAUGUGAAGAGGCGUAAUUGUGCGAUAAAGUUGUAACGCAGCCAACCUCGCCUGACGAAAGAAUUCUUUUGGCUUAUUCUAUGAAGUUGUUCCCGAACUUUUUCAAAACCGUGGAAUCCAGAAACGCUGUUCAUCUGAACGAGACCACUAAGCAAAAGUUAGGGGAUGACUAGAAUUCUACUGUCGACAAAGGAAAAGAUUUGCUCCAUCAACAGAUCUUAAUAUAUCUUCAAAAAAGCAUGAAGAGUCUGCACUUUUCCAUUACUCAGGCGGUCGUGAAUAUGGGUAAACUAAACGGUUAGUUCUCAAAAUAUGUAUCCAGGGCCGUUCCUAGACGCUUAAUUGGGGGGGGGGUGCAUAUUCAUAUAUUCGGUUAUGCCCGACUAGUUUCUUUUGUAAGCAGUUGACUUUGCAAACGAAA